GGUGGCAGGCUGUANUCCUGCUAACAUGGGUUUAAAUCCUGUUUCUACC
rnacentral:tRNA from 1 species